GACGGGGGGGGGCAAGUGUUCUUCGGAAUGACUGGGCGUAAAAGGGCACGUAGGCGGUGAAUCGGGUUGAAAGUGAAAAGUCGCCAAAAAAGUGGCGGAAUGCUCUCGAAACCAAUUCACUUGAGUGAGACAGAGGAGAGUGGAAUUUCGUGUGUAGGGGUGGAAAUCCGUAAAUAUACGAAGGAACGCCAAAAGCGAAGGCAGCUCUCUGGGUCC
rnacentral:rRNA from 1 species